CGAAUAUUCAAUUAGUAAACGCGGUCUCUGCUACACUGAGGUUGGAAGAAGAAACUCUGAAGGAAAUUGUGAAGCCAGUCGGACAGCAAUGGAGUGAGAGCAGAGAUGAGGAAUUCUGUCUACAAGCAAACAACAUGAUUAAGGAAGUAACAACUGCAUUCGUGGAUUAUUAUGGAUAUGGACCACUUCAUCUUCAGGAACGAAAGGAGAGGGGACUUAGACGACGAAUAGAGUCUGAGAUCACAUGUAAUAUGUAAAGCCGCAGUACGUCGAGGGAGGUGCACACAGUGAUGUGACAUGAAUCAGCGUGUUGCACUUGCGCGACAGGUCUCCAUGCUGUUCCUUCAGACACAGAUUCAGAUCACUGCAGCCCCCCUACCACUUCCUGCCAAAAUGUGGACACUAACACUACAUACUUUGACAAGAUUUAG